rnacentral:lncRNA from 1 species
GAGAACCCUGGCUCGGGAGAGCGACGCGGGGCCCUCGGGCUGCGGCCGUGGCGCCCUCCUGGCCGGCCCGAGGGCGCGGCUCGCUCUCCUUCCCCAUCUCCUUCUCCAGGACGCCUGCCCUCCCGGCUCCCGAUCCCGAGCAGCGGCUGGCUGGGCCACAUUUUAGCCUUCCAGGAUGGCCAGGCACCAGGCUUGUGGCAAAAGGAGCUGGGAGAGAUUUGGAGCCUGUAGCGUAACUCGAGAGGCUUACCAGCUGUGAACUGUCUCAACCGACCAGAAGCAGAAGAUUCCAAGAAAAGUGUGGACUCAAAGCCAUCUGAUUGAGCGGCUUGUGAAGAGGGCUUUGCAAAGCAUUCCACCAACCCACACUGGAUGCAGAAGUGCAAAAAACUCCUUGUUCGGUAUGACUGAACUUCUACAUGUUGCAUCCUCUAAUUCUCGGUCCUCAAAUAUGAAGAUGACAUAUGGGGUUCAGGAACAUAUUGGUUGCUGCUGGGACAGAUGCUGCUAAGCCACCCAGGACCAGAUGAGGUUUGUUUGUUUGUUUUCAAGGUGCUCUGACUGGUGAAGGCAUGCAGCCUAUGAGACUUCCUGGAAAUCUUCCAAGAAAGCAAACUGUCCUUGUGAUUGUUGAAGGGCUCAGCUAACUCCUUCUGAACCUGGCAAGUCCUUACUAGAGACAGAGAGGCUUGGGAGGGGACA